AAUCCAUAGGUUAAUGAGGCGAACCGGGGGAACUGAAACAUCUAAGUACCCCGAGGAAAAGAAAUCAACCGAGAUUCCCCCAGUAGCGGCGAGCGAACGGGGAGGAGCCCAGAGCCUGAAUCAGCAUGUGUGUUAGUGGAAGCGUCUGGAAAGGCGCGCGAUACAGGGUGACAGCCCCGUACACAAAAGCGCAUGUGCUGUGAGCUCGAUGAGUAGGGCGGGACACGUGGUAUCCUGUCUGAAUAUGGGGGGACCAUCCUCCAAGGCUAAAUACUCCUGACUGACCGAUAGUGAACCAGUACCGUGAGGGAAAGGCGAAAAGAACCCCGGCGAGGGGAGUGAAAAAGAACCUGAAACCGUGUACGUACAAGCAGUGGGAGCACCCUUUUGGGUGUGACUGCGUACCUUUUGUAUAAUGGGUCAGCGACUUAUAUUCUGUAGCAAGGUUAACCGAAUAGGGGAGCCGGAGGGAAACCGAGUCUUAAUUGGGCGUUAAGUUGCAGGGUAUAGACCCGAAACCCGGUGAUCUAGCCAUGGGCAGGUUGAAGGUUGGGUAACACUAACUGGAGGACCGAACCGACUAAUGUUGAAAAAUUAGCGGAUGACCUGUGGCUGGGGGUGAAAGGCCAAUCAAACCGGGAGAUAGCUGGUUCUCCCCGAAAGCUAUUUAGGUAGCGCCUCGUGAAUUCAUCUCCGGGGGUAGAGCACUGUUUCGGCUAGGGGGCCAUCCCGGCUUACCAACCCGAUGCAAACUGCGAAUACCGGAGAAUGUUAUCACGGGAGACACACGGCGGGUGCUAACGUCCGUCGUGAAGAGGGAAACAACCCAGACCGCCAGCUAAGGUCCCAAAGUCAUGGUUAAGUGGGAAACGAUGUGGGAAGGCCCAGACAGCCAGGAUGUUGGCUUAGAAGCAGCCAUCAUUUAAAGAAAGCGUAAUAGCUCACUGGUCGAGUCGGCCUGCGCGGAAGAUGUAACGGGGCUAAACCAUG
rnacentral:rRNA from 1 species